rnacentral:rRNA from 1 species
UACGGAGGGUGCGAGCGUUAAUCGGAAUUACUGGGCGUAAAGCGUGCGUAGGCGGCUCGUUAAGUCAGAUGUGAAAGCCCUGGGCUCAACCUGGGAACUGCAUUUGAAACUGGCGAGCUAGAGUUUGGGAGAGGUAAGUGGAAUUUCAGGUGUAGCGGUGAAAUGCGUAGAGAUCUGAAGGAACACCAGUGGCGAAGGCGACUUACUGGCCUAAAACUGACGCUGAGGUACGAAAGCGUGGGUAGCAAACAGGAUUAGAUACCCUGGUAGUCCACGCCGUAAACGAUGUCAACUAGCCGUUGGCUCUCUUCGAGAGUUAGUGGCGCAGCUAACGCAUUAAGUUGACCGCCUGGGGAGUACGGCCGCAAGGUUA